rnacentral:rRNA from 1 species
GUUGACCUCGGAUCAGGUAGGGAUACCCGCUGAACUUAAGCAUAUCAAUAAGCGGAGGAAAAGAAACCAACAGGGAUUGCUCUAGUAACGGCGAGUGAAGCAGCAAUAGCUCAAAUUUGAAAUCUGGCGUCUUCGACGUCCGAGUUGUAAUUUGUAGAGGAUGCUUCUGAGUAACCACCGACCUAAGUUCCUUGGAACAGGACGUCAUAGAGGGUGAGAAUCCCGUAUGCGGUCGGA